CGAUGCUGGAAGAACAUGUCUCCAUGGUGCUGCUUGCAGUGGAAAAGUGGAGUGUGUUGAAUAUCUUUUGAAUGAAGGAAGUAAUCUAGCACUUCAGGAUGCUGACGGCAGGACUCCUCUGCAUUAUGCUUCAGCUCAUUGUCACAGCCAGAAUGUCUUGACUUUGCUGAAUGCUGGCAGUGACGUCAACACUGCCGACAGCCGAGGAUGUACUCCAUUACAUUAUGCUGCGGCCAAUGACGUUGAUGCAAAGGUGGUAGAGAUUUUGCUGCAGCAUGAUGCCAGACCAGGACUUCGAGAUGAUGAGGGCUAUAAUGCUGU
rnacentral:sRNA from 1 species